GGUCUUCCCAGACAGAGAGAGACUGAAUCUGCUCUGUAAGCUGGAGAAGGCAGAGACCAGAGUACGAACGCUCGAAAAACAGCUGGAAGAUAACUCUAAGCGAUGGGGCAGACAGAAACAAGACAUGCUGACCAGACUCGGUGAACACAACUACGGUUUGGAUCGCACGUCGUCCACCAUCGCCCAUGAUCUGCCCCUGGAGAGUGUCUGAUCAGAGUGUGUCAGAUUCUGUGUUGGAGCGUACCCGACAAAGAGAGCUGAAGCCGGUGAAGAAGUAACCCCACCUCCCAUACUUGACCUCUAACCCCUGACCUCCCGGCUACCUGUGUGUCUGUCUCCUUCAGAGUCUGACCUCUGAUCCCCAACCUCCCUGCUACCUGUGUGUCUGUCUCCAUCAGAGUCUGACCUUUAACCCCUGACCUCCCCUGCUACCUGUGUGUCUGUCUCCUUCACAGUCUGACCUUUAACCUCUGACCUCCCGGCUACCUGUGUGUCUGUCUCCUUCAGAAGAGUCUGACCUCUGACCUCCCGGCUACCUGUGUGUCUGUCUCCUUCAAAGUCUGACCUAUGACCUCCCCUCUACCUGUGUGUCUGUCUCCUUCAGAGUCUGACCUAUGACCUCUCGGCUACCUGUGUGUCUGUCUCCUUCACAGUCUGACCUUUAACCCCUGACCUCCCUGCUACCUGUGUGUCUGUCUCCUUCAGAAGAGUGUGACCUAUGACCUCCCUUCUACCUGUGUGUCUGUCUCCUUCACAGUCUGACCUUUAACCCCUGACCUCCCUCCUACCUGUGUGUCUGUCUCCUUCACAGUCUGACCUUUAACCCCUGACCUCCCGGCUACCUGUGUGUCUGUCUCCUUCAGAGUCUGACCUCUCCUCUACCUGACCUACUCAACAUACAGACCUGAUACCCAGCUAACAUUCCAGGACAAAGUCAUUCAUUUUCCUCAAAAUAUAUUUUAGUUUUUUUUAGUUAUUAGACAAUAAACAUUUUCCA